UACAUUGGCCGCCCUGGACUUUCUUGUGGAGGAAGGGCGAGAAUGAAACCCUCGAUACUGCUAGAGGAGCCGCCGGAGUCGUGCAAAGGAAGGUGACCGGGACCCCAGCGCGGAUGAAAUCAACAAAGCACAGCGGAGAACCAAAAAGAGCCGGCUGACCCUUCUCCGCACGCAACCCCGCUGCGCCGCCACCACCCUCAAACUAGGAAAUCGAUUUCAUGUUGCUGUUUGCAGCCCGUAUCUGUUUGUGAAGCCGGCCUCUCUAUUGAUGGCCAACGGGAAGGAUUACAUAAUGUGGGCAGAAAUCUGCUACUCUCAUGAAAGAACACCUAUAUGUACAGAACCGUCAGAGAAGAUGCCUCCAGUCCUCGCGUUGUCUGAUCUGCUCCCCUUUCCUUGUGUUUACAACGCGGGAUUUUUUGACGCUUCUUUAUUUCCUUGGCUCCUUUGGCUUUUGGAGCCCAGUAGAUAAAUACCUUAAAUUGAAAUAGCCCCAUCAAUGAAAAAAUAGUCAACAAAACAUACAAUGUAAGGGAAGUGAGCAGAGCAACUCUACCUACUAAUUCUCCAACUAGAAACUGUAAUGGCCACCAUCCAGUGCAUCGUUCAUGUUCCAUAUAGCACAAGCCUAUUCGUGUCUACUGAGAAGUAAAUCCCGUUGAGUUCAAUAGGACUUGGUACCAA